UGAAGGAAAGACGGACUGAGCUUUCAGUGGCAGACUGACCCAGUGGUUUAAUCAGACAACACAAGUCAGAGUGCACUGCUGAGGAGCCACCGAGGAGGACACCCAGUCCAACCCAGAGGCAACAUGUUCCUCUCUGCUGGCUAGUUGGUCACAAAAGGGAUCGAGAGGGUGCAGGCUGAAGGGGCUCCAUCGGGUGUGUCCACCGUGGAAGCGGGGCUCCGACGAUCUGCAUGCUCCGGCAAACCCAACUGAGAGCAGCUGCAGAGAGAGUGAGGCUCCACUUUCCUGCCAGAAAUCAGCGUUUUGUUUGUUUUUUCUUUCUCUAGAAUUAGAAGAGCCAGAAAGAAAUGGGGCGAGCUAAUCAAAGCCAACACGUAUUUCAAGCUCCAUAGAUCCAUUUUAUCCGCUGUCAUUCCUUGUGCACCCUCCUCAUCACACCUAAUUCUCUGCUCCAACUCCAGAGCCCGAGGAAGAAUUUACGUGCAUGUGCACAUGCAGGUCUGUGCAGAUUUCGUGAAUCUGAGGUCCCCAUGAGACAGGACGAGUUCCAGAGAACAGGC